AGGGAGGCACCUGAGGUGGGGCCUGCCUCGCGAGCNNNNNNNNNNCGAGAAAAGCAGAGAGGGUAGGGGAAGGAGAGGCUCCGACGUGCCGACCUGUGAGGUGGCCGAUGCCCAGGGCGCGGCUGCAGGGAGGCACCUGAGGUGGGGCCUGCCUCGCGAGCAGAGGAUCUCGGGAAGCUCGGGGUCGAUCCCCUGCUAGCGCCGCACGCUGCUUGGACGAGGUCGGGGUCACCGAUAGGCGCAGCUGGCGGAAGGGGUGCCGGUGCCCAACCGACACUAGCGGCGAGGUGCGCGCAGAUGGGGCCGCUGCUGCGUCCGUACGCUGCUGGCGGUGCUCCUCCGAAGAUGUUGCUGCAGCGCAACAGGGGGAGAGGAAUGAGACACAACGAGCAGGAGGGAAGGGAGCAGAGGAACACAGGGAGGGGGACGGAGAGGGACAUGGCCGACCUGGANNNNNNNNNNAUACGCUGCUGGCGGUGCUCCUCGAAGAUGUUGCUGCAGCGCAACAGGGGGAGAGGAAUGAGACACAGCGAGUAGGAGGGAAGGGCGCAGAGGAACACAGGGAGGGGGACGGAGAGGGACAUGGCCGACCUGGAGGCUGGCUGCUGCUACUGCGCGGGGACGCCUGCGGGGAAGCGGCGGCUGCACGCGAGCGCUCUGUUGGGUGCGAACGCGCAACGAGGAGGAAGGGGGGUUGGUCGGGAGGAGAUCCCGAGGAAGAUGGUGGCGGCGGCGCNN
rnacentral:lncRNA from 1 species